AUGCUUGGGACUACAAAUUUGUUGGACUACAGAUCCCAUGAGUCCAAGUACUAUAAAGGGGGAAAUCAAAUCUUCUGGCCUUUCUCUUUGUGGGACCAUGUGCUGCGUAGGAGAAGCUGUGUGUAUGCUUAAAGGAUAUAUACUGGUGGAUGCCUCAGAAAUUGAGUAGAUUCAUUCAUUAACACAGAUGAUGCAUGAUUGCCGUUUACUUUUAUCUAAAAUAUUGGUGGGUUAAUGUUGGGUUGUAAGAUAUGACUUUUAACAGUUACACUAUGAUGAAGUGAUUUGAAUUUCUUGUGGGACUGUGAUUUUGUUUCGUUUAUUUGUCUUCGUUUUGUGUUAAUCAACCAAAGACAAAGGGGUUCCCAUUCUUGUAUGCAUGGUUGACUCUUAAGGUGAUUGGGCACAAUUUGUAAUGGUUUGAGUCAAGUGCGUGUUGGUUUUCUAU